UGCAAUGUAAAACAUAGUUGCGAAAGGAUGUCUACGAAAUUGCUACACAAUUGUUCAAAUUUCACAUGUCUUAAAAAAAUUUAAAAGAAGGAAAUACUUAAAAAGACGACAUUGCAUUGAACGUUUGAUACCUAGAGUAAUUUUCUGGACAGUAUAGCACUGAAUCCAAGUCAAAAUCUAACUGUUUGUGACAUGAAGACAAAUAUUUUUUUGCAAAAAAAGGAAUUAAAAUAAAAAAAGAAAAUUUUUCUUCUACUUCAAUUUUUUCUUAUGUUUGAAAUUGUGAUUGAAAAAGAAUGAAGAAAUAAAAAAUUUUCUAAUGUAGCAUAAGAAACGAUUUUCCAAUAUCAAAUGUUAGUAUAUCGCGAUUCGGCCCUCGAGCACAAACUUUUAUGGAAACAAUUGGUUCGAAACUUAUGAAUAACAAAUUUAGCGUAUAUCCACAUACUAUAAAAAAAAAACACUUACCUGACACAGAACAAUGAACUGACACCCUAGGACGCUGUCAUAGCAGAAGAGUGAAUUUAUCACAAAAAGAAGCUACGGGUACAGACUAGUUAUUUCUGAAUUUCAUGUUUGGCUGACUUGCAAUAUUAAGAGGUUCUACUUUACUCGAACAACUUUUUAAUUUACGAGGAUCAUAUGUUAACGAUCACACACCCUUGCUACUGUAUGCUGAACAAAACUAUUUACUUAACAUUGCUAGCGCUUGAGAAGGCUGCGGUUUAUAAAAUUGUUGCGAAAACAGUAAGAAGAGAAAAAGAGCCUUUUUGAAAAUAUCAUCAUGAAGAUCACCAACGGAAAGAGAAAAGUUUUCUGCGAUCUCAUUUACCGAAGUACGAUUUUGGAAGGUACAUCACUUAAAUGUAUAAGUGAUGUAGACUUUAAGUUUUUGAAUAAAGUGUAUUUAUGCGUAGAAUUGUUUAAAAACAAAAAAAAAACGUUUAUUCUUUUAGCAUACCUGUCGUCGACUUACUGAGAAGAUUUGAGAUGUUAUUGUAUAUACCACACACCAGGAUUAUUAUGGUCACGUAUGGAUGGAUAGUUGAAAGAUAUAGAAAAAGCAGUGUAGGAAAAAGAUGGACGUGACUUUUAUUAUAUUUCGUUAGAUUUUUUCCUUGUCUUACAUUGAUUCUAUACCAGUUGAUUCAGUAGCACAUGACAGUUUGAAAAUUUUAUUUUUUUUAUCCGGAGAAGAAAUCAAGAAAUGUACAGCUAAUGUGGUUGGAUACAAAAAAAAAAUUUGUAAUGUUUUGUCAUGAAAGUUCAUGAUAAAAAUCCAUAAACAAGUUUUUCUUCCAAAUAAAUGGGGCGUGUCCAAUCUCUACAAACAAAAUAGCUCAUUUUUGUUUUCAUAGAAUUUAUAGGGUUUUAAAUGUAUUUUCUUAAAAAAAAAUUCAUAUAGUUUUAAAUAAUAAAUUAAAAAUAAUAUUAUCAGUAGAGAACUUGAGUAAUUUUUUUUAUUUUUUUAUAAAAAUCUUAUUUAUAUUAAAAAAAAUCAAUUCAUAACAUCAAGUCAAA